GACGAACGCUGGCGGCGUGGAUUAGGCAUGCAAGUCGAACGGUAGGAUACCUUCGGGUAUCUGAGAGUGGCGAACGGGUGAGUAACACGUAGGUGAUCUACCCUCAAGAUUGGGACAACCCAGGGAAACUUGGGCUAAUACCGGAUGAAAGCAGCAGUGAUGUUGUUUGAAAGGUGGCGUAAGCUGCCGUUUGGGGAUGAGCCUGCGCUCUAUUAGUUAGUUGGCGGGGUAAAGGCCCACCAAGGCGAUGAUAGAUAGGCGGCCUUAACGGGUGGUCGCCCACACUGGGAUUGAGAUACGGCCCAGACUCCUACGGGAGGCAGCAGUCGAGAAUAGUCUACAAUGGCCGAAAGGCUGAUAGUGCGACGCCGCGUGAACGAAGAAGCCCUUCGGGGUGUAAAGUCUUUUAUAUGUGAGCAGUGCUUCUUAUAUUAACAGUAUGGGGAGAGAGAUAUUAGCAUAUGAAUAAGCAAACGGCUAAACUCCGUGCCAGCAGACCC
rnacentral:rRNA from 1 species